GAUGAACGCUGGCGGCGUGCCUAAUACAUGCAAGUCGAGCGAACAGACGAGGAGCUUGCUCCUCUGACGUUAGCGGCGGACGGGUGAGUAACACGUGGAUAACCUACCUAUAAGACUGGGAUAACUUCGGGAAACCGGAGCUAAUACCGGAUAAUAUAUUGAACCGCAUAGUUCAAUAGUGAAAGACGGUUUUGCUGUCACUUAUAGCUGGAUCCGCGCCGCAUUAGCUAGUUGGUAAGGUAACGGCUUACCAAGGCAACGAUGCGUAGCCGACCUGAGAGGAUGAUCGGCCACACUGGAACUGAGACACGGUCCAGACUCCUACGGGAGGCAGCAGUAGGGAAUCUUCCGCAAUGGGCGAAAGCCUGACGGAGCAACGCCGCGUGAGUGAUGAAGGUCUUCGGAUCGUAAAACUCUGUUAUUGGGGAAGAACAAAUGUGUAAGUAACUAUGCACGUCUUGACGGUACCUAAUGAGAAAGCAACGGCUAACUACGUG
rnacentral:rRNA from 1 species